rnacentral:lncRNA from 1 species
CUGGCGCGUGCGCGGCGUCGGAGCAAGCGGCCCCUUCCUUCGGCCCCGCCCAGCCCCGCCGGCCGCCCGCUCCCUGGGGAACCGAGGGAGGAAUGGGCGGGGUCCUCAGGUGCCCGGCGACGUCAUCCAGCCCCCAAGGCUCCAGGACGCAAAGGGUCCCCUGAUCUGGCAGUCCCUGGACCUACCCUGGAGAGCGUGGGGGGACAAAGGCCGGACGCGCCGCCCGCUGCCGCCUCCAGGAAGCCCUCCCUUGCCAGGACAGUGGAGUUGGCCGGCUGAACAGGAAAAGGAACAGUAAGUACAAAGCAAGGCAACAUCAGAAAAGGGAGCCCUGAGGAAUUUCUCCCUCCUUCCCUGAGCCGGGUGAGGCCGUGACUGCAGCCUGACUCACAGGUUUUAUUUCACUUAUUAACCUAAAGAUGGUGAGGAUCUGCUGGUUCUCCCCCAGGCCUGGAGGCUGCCUACCAUCGGUGGCUCUCAUCGGUCCUUCCAAAGUGCCUACGGAAAGCUUUGUCCCAUCCUUGAAAAAUUGCUAAUGGGUUUGGAGAUACGAGGUGGAGAUGACUAGCAAUCAAACUCAAAGGUGGAAGUCACAUCGAGGCAGAUGAGCAGAUGAGGGGACCUAGAGAAGAAGAGAGGUGCAAGGAGAGCCCAGCCAGCAGGAACAUCUGCCCCAGUAGGCAGCACUGCCCCACAUCAGAGUCGAGGAAAGCAAAGCUCGGAUUGGAUAAAAGAAACUUGCAAACACGGUCAGUGCUUACUGCAUGUGGGCUCAGAGCACGUUACCCUCCUUCCCUGCAUGUUCCUGUGAAACGGGUUUACUGCUCUAACUCUCAGGGACACUGUGAAGACCAAACGAGAAAAUAGAAACAAACAUAAUUUAUAAACCAUAAAGUACUGACACCAAAAGAGGGGCGAGCACAGCAUUGUGAAUGUGCUGGUACUAAAUGGUUUGUUUUAAGAUGAUUUUAUGGUGUGUGAAUUUCACUUGAAUAAAUUUUUUUAAUGGAGUUCA